rnacentral:rRNA from 1 species
UACAGAGGGUGCAAGCGUUGUUCGGAAUUAUUGGGCGUAAAGGGCGCGUAGGCGGUGCGGUAAGUCUGUAGUGAAAUCUCUGGGCUCAACUCAGAGUCUGCUGCAGAAACUGCCGUGCUUGAGUGUGGGAGAGGUGAGUGGAAUUCCCGGUGUAGCGGUGAAAUGCGUAGAUAUCAGGAGGAACACCGGUGGCGAAGGCGAGUCUCUGGGCCGAUACUGACGCUGAGGAGCGAAAGCGUGGGGAGCAAACCGG